UUUAAAUACAGAGAGGUGCUUUCACCACCAUUGCCAUAGGUGUUGUUACAGGAUGGUUUAACCAUUGCCACAGGUGUUACAGGAUGGUUUAACCAUUGCCACAGGUGUUGUUACAGGGUGGUUUACACAGGUAUUGUUACAUGAUGGUUUAACCAUUGCCACAGGUGUUACAGGAUGGUUUAACCAUUGCCACAGGUGUUGUUACAGGGUGGUUUACACAGGUGUUGUUACAUGAUGGUUUAACCAUUGCCACAGGUGUUACAGGAUGGUUUAACCAUUGCCAUAGGUGUUGUUACAGGAUGGUUUAACCAUUGCCACAGGUGUUGUUAAAGGGUGGUUUAAUCAUUGCCUCAGGUGUUGUUACAGGAUGGUUUAACCAUUGCCACAGGUGUUGUUACAGGAUGGUUUAACCAUUGCCUUAGGUGCUGUUACAAGGCGGAUUAACCAUUGCCACAGGUGUUGUUACAGGGUGCUUUAACCAUUGCCUUAGGUGUUGUUACAAGGUGCUUUAACCAUUGCCACAGGUGUUGUUACAGGGUGGUUUAACCAUUGCCACAGGUGUUGUUACAGGGUGGUUUAACCAUUGCCACAGGUGUUGUUACAGGGUGGUUUAACCAUUGCCACAGGUGUUGUUACAGGGUGGUUUAACCAUUGCCACAGGUGUUAUUACAGGGUGGUUUAACCAUUGCCUUAGGUGUUGUUACAAGGUGCUUUAACCAUUGCCACAGGUGUUGUUACAGGGUGGUUUAACCAUUGCCACAGGUGUAACAGGGUGGUUUAACCAUUGUCACAGGUGUUACAGGGUGGUUUACACAGGUGUUGUUACAGGGUGGUUUAACCAUUGCCACAGGUGUAACAGGGUGGUUUAACCAUUGUCACAGGUGUUACAGGGUGGUUUAACCAUUGUCACAGGUGUUACAGGGUGGUUUACACAGGUGUUGUUACAGGGUGGUUUAACCAUUGCCACAGGU